rnacentral:rRNA from 1 species
UACAGGGGGGGCAAGCGUUGUUCGGAAUUACUGGGCGUAAAGGGCCAGUAGGCGGCCAACUAAGUCCGACGUGAAAUCCCCAGGCUUAACCUGGGAACUGCGUCGGAUACUGGAUGGCUUGAAUUCGGGAGAGGGAUGCAGAAUUCCAGGUGUAGCGGUGAAAUGCGUAGAUAUCUGGAGGAAUACCGGUGGCGAAGGCGGCAUCCUGGACCGACAUUGACGCUGAGGAGCGAAAGCGUGGGGAGCGAACAGG